rnacentral:rRNA from 1 species
GGGAUCCGAUUUUAGCAUGGAAUAAUAAAAUAGGACUUUUGGUUCUAUUUUGUUGGUUUCUAGGACCGAAGUAUGAUUAAUAGGGAUAGUUGGGGGCAUUAGUAUUUAAUUGUCAGAGGUGAAAUUCUUGGAUUUAUGAAAGACUAACUUCGCGAAAGCAUUUGCCAAGGAUGUUUUCAUUAAUCAAGAACGAAAGUUAGGGGAUCGAAGACGAUCAGAUACCGUCGUAGUCUUAACCAUAAACUAUGCCGACUAGGGAUCAGGCAAGGAUAUUUUGACUUGCUUGGCACCUUAUGAGAAAUCAAAGUUUUUGGGUUCCGGGGGGAGUAUGGUCGCAAGGCUGAAACUUAAAGGAAUUGACGGAAGGGCACCACCAGGAGUGGAGCCUGCGGCUUAAUUUGACUCAACACGGGGAAACUCACCAGGUCCAGAAAUCUAGA